ACACCUGGUACAAGGAGAAUGAAGACUCACCAAAAGCUUCAGGACAGAUCUUCACCAUCACUGACUUCAGACCUGAACACAGUGGGAGUUAUUACUGUGAAGCCCAGAACAGAAGAGGACGUCAUAACUCCACCUUACACCUGGUUGGUGUCACAGGCUCAGUGAAAUCAGCAGUAGCUGGGAUAUUAACAGUUUUUUUCCUGGUCAUCAUUUUCCUGUCUGUCUUCCUGCUGAUUAGAAGAAAGAGAUCCUGGAAACAAACCUCAGGGUCAAGACAAAGAUCAAACAACAAAGCAGAGUCAAGUGUGGGUCCAGAAAAUGACAACCCUGCAGCUACAACACAGAGAAUAUCAGCAGAGCAGCAGGACGAAGUUUGUUACGCCACCGUAAGUGUCUCUAAGAACCAAGAAGAUCCUCUCUACUCCAACAUCACGCUAGCUCAACACAACAAACAGAAGAAGAAGAGAGUGAAGGAGGGAGAUGAUGUAGUGUACACAGCUAUCCAGUUUACUGCUUCAGGAAUAGGACGUGAAGCUGAGAAGGAUGUGUCUGCACUGUACAGCACAGUGAAGAACAAAUGCAGGAAAUGAACACAACACAAACCUGUGUCUCCAUCUGAAGUUUCCAUGAAGUUUGUCCAGUUUGUCAUAAAAUGGACAAUGUGCUACUAUAUUGUAGACGAUCAUUUCAGGAGUUCAUCAACGAAUCAACAACUCUGCUCUUGAAAUGAAAGGCGCAAAGAAGAGUUUUGUAUCAAAGACACACCCUGGAGAGAAGGGUUUAUAAGAGCCUGGUCAGUCUCAAGUUGUUCUCAGUCGCUUUUCUCUUUGUCCCCGUUCUGUAUAGUUCGUCUUUUAUUCUCCGCAAUACUUUUUAGUUUUAAUUCAAAGUUUUUGUUUCCACCUGUCGGCAUGUUUAGGUUUUAUUUGAACUGUCAAGACAGUCACACAUUGAUAUUUUUGUAGACUUUUUUUUUUUCUAUUUCAUCAUCAACAUCCACUUUUCACCUUCAUAUUUGAGCAGUUGAUACGUGUGAUAAGACUAAACAAACCUUAAACAAAUCUAAGUCUUUAAUUUUGAUUCAUUCUUAGUGUACUUUACAUUUGUAAGUGGUGCCCCCUUUUGACGAGUGCAGUUAUUAGACUUAAAUGUUUAAUAAUUUAAUUCCCCUACAACAUUUAAAAAAAAAAAAAAGAUUCACGAAAGAAAAGAGAAAGGGAAGAAGAAAGAGUGAUCAAAGAGGACGACUGAGGACAAGACAAUGAUCUGACUAUGGACACUGACACUUGAAUGUGUGGGAGAGAGAUUCAUAUGUGGUUAGUGUGUGAGAACCAAACUCGGUCACAUCGUGGUGAGGUUAAGUUGGGCUUUUGUCCUCUCUCCAUGUUUUGUCUCAUCACUUCCUGUUUUAUUUUGAAGAGUAACUCUCCUCUCGUUUCAGGUCACUUGCCCUUCCUUGUGUGUCACCGGUCUGAUUUUCUUCCCUGAUUCCCGAUUACUUCCACCUGUUCCCCAUUACCUGCAUGUGUUCAAAUAGUCUGCAUCUCACUUCGUUUUGUGCCAGAGUGUUUGUCUUUGUCGUAGUGCGUUCACCACCGCCUUGACCAUGAUUGUUAUUUGGGUUUUGUUCUGUUUCCUCCGAAGAGAGUUUUUUGUUUGUAAGUUUUUACCAUAGUGAUUUUCCUUUGUUUAUGACUUUGGUCUUUUGUGUUUUCCUCCUUCAGUGGAGUGAUUUUUAGUUUUGUCUUUUCUUGAAAGAAGUAUUUCAGAGGCUGUUUUUUUUUCAGAGCCUGCUUUGUAUUCAUUGUCUUGGAUUUUUGAACCUGAGAUUUCUUAAUAAAGACCGUUAUUGAGAAAA